rnacentral:rRNA from 1 species
GUAAUCGUAGAUCGUAGAUCAGAAUGCUACGGUGAAUACGUUCCCGGGCCUUGUACACACCGCCCGUCACACCAUGGGAGUGGGUUGCAAAAGAAGUAGGUAGCUUAACCUUCGGGAGGGCGCUUACCACUUUGUGAUUCAUGACUGGGGUGAAGUCGUAACAAGGUAACCGUAGGGGAACCUGCGGUUGGAUCACCUCCUUA